AGAGUUUGAUUCUGGCUCAGAACGAACGCUGGCGGCGCGUUUAAGCAUGCAAGUCGAGCGGCAAGGGCCUUCGGGCCCUAGAGCGGCGGACGGGUGAGUAACACGUGGACAAUCUGCCCCCGGCCCGGGAUAGCCCAGGGAAACCUGGAUUAAUACCGGAUGAGACGGGACCCGCGAUGGCGGGAUCCGGGAAAGGCGCUGCGGCGCCGCCGGGGGAUGAGUCUGCGUCCCAUUAGCUAGACGGCGGGGUAACGGCCCACCGUGGCGACGAUGGGUAGCCGGCCUGAGAGGGUGGACGGCCACAUUGGAACUGAGACACGGUCCAGACUCCUACGGGAGGCAGCAGCUAAGAAUCUUCCGCAAUGGGCGAAAGCCUGACGGAGCCGACGCCGCGUGAACGAAGAAGGCCGUGAGGUUGUAAAGUUCUUUUCGGGAGGGGGAACAACCGUGGCAGGGAAUGGCCGCGGGAUGACGUGAAUCCCGGAAUAAGCCCCGGCUAACUACGUGCCAGCCGCCGC
rnacentral:rRNA from 1 species